GUGAAUCAUCGAAUUUUUGAACGCAAAUUGCACUCUUUUCGGAGAGUUUGCCUGUUUGAGGGCCAGCCUAUAAAAAAUCGACAUCGUUGCUGUGUUGCGGGGGCGUUCGUCGGAAAUUGGGUCAUCUUAGAUCUUUUGUUUUUAUGCGACUUAAAAUUGUCUUUUUGGUUUCAUGAAUGUUUCUAAGAUUUAUUUCUUUAAACGUUUAAGUUAUCGAUUUUUAUUAGACGUGACCAUCAUAG
rnacentral:misc_RNA from 1 species